GAUGAACGCUGGCGGCGUGCCUAAUACAUGCAAGUCGAACGAAACUUCUUUAUCACCGAGUGCUUGCACUCACCGAUAAAGAGUUGAGUGGCGAACGGGUGAGUAACACGUGGGCAACCUGCCCAAAAGAGGGGGAUAACACUUGGAAACAGGUGCUAAUACCGCAUAACCAUAGUUACCGCAUGGUAACUAUGUAAAAGGUGGCUAUACUACCGCUUUUGGAUGGGCCCGCGGCGCAUUAGCUAGUUGGUAGGGUAAAGGCUUACCAAGGCAAUGAUGCGUAGCCGAAUUGAGAGGUUGAUCGGCCACAUUGGGACUGAGACACGGCCCAAACUCCUACGGGAGGCAGCAGUAGGGAAUCUUCCACAAUGGGCGAAAGCCUGAUGGAGCAACGCCGCGUGGGUGAAGAAGGUCUUCGGAUCGUAAAACCCUGUUGUUAGAGAAGAAAGUGCGUGAGAGUAACUGUUCACGUUUCGACGGUUUCUAACCAGAAAGCCACGGCUAACUACGUG
rnacentral:rRNA from 1 species